rnacentral:lncRNA from 1 species
GGAAAAGAAAGAAUACCGCAUGUUUGUCAGGACUUACUGAACCAACGUGAGGCAGAAGGUGUCAGUUUCCUGCAUCCCAUAAUUACUGGUUAUGAGACAUGGUGUCACCACUAUAAGCCAACGUCAAAAUGUCCAUAGAGGGGCUACGUGUGAAUUCCCUGUUGAAGAAGAAGUUCAAGACAACACCCUCAACGGGCGAAUGUCCAUGGAAACAGAUAGGAGCCAUUACUUUUGGAGCAACAUACUUUAGAGCAAGGAUGAGAUUCACAGCUUCCCAAAAGGUCAAGUUUGGAAUUGUACUCCUGUCCUCAGCUGCACUUAUUGUUCCAGUCAAGCCCA